rnacentral:rRNA from 1 species
ACGGAAGGCAGCAGUGGGGGAUAUUGCACAAUGGGCGCAAGCCUGAUGCAGCAACGCCGCGUGAGGGAAGACGGUUUUCGGAUUGUAAACCUCUGUUCUUGGUGACGAAGAAGUGACGGUAGCCAAGGAGAAAGCCACGGCUAACUACGUGCCAGCAGCCGCGGUAAUACGUAGGUGGCAAGCGUUAUCCGGAAUUACUGGGUGUAAAGGGAGCGCAGGCGGGACAGCAAGUCAGCGGUGAAAUGUAUGGGCUCAACCCCUGAACUGCCGUUGAAACUGUUGUUCUUGAGUGGAGUAGAGGUAGGCGGAAUUCCGAGUGUAGCGGUGAAAUGCGUAGAUAUUCGGCGGAACACCAGUGGCGAAGGCGGCCUGCUGGGCUCUAACUGUCGCUGAGGCUCGAAAGUGUGGGGAGCAAACAGGAUUAGAUACCCUGGUA